UAGAUCUCAAAUCAGGUAGGACUACCCGC
rnacentral:rRNA from 2 species